rnacentral:rRNA from 1 species
UACAGAGGGUGCGAGCGUUAAUCGGAAUUACUGGGCGUGAAGCGUGCGUAGACGGUUAUUUAAGUCGGGUGUGAGAGCCCCGGGCUCAACCUGGGAAUUGCAUUCGAGACUGAAUAGCUAGGGUACGGUAGAGGGAAGUGGAAUUUCCGGUGUAGCGGUGAAAUGCGUAGAUAUCGGAAGGAACAUCAGUGGCGAAAGCGACUUCCUGGACCAGUACCGACGUUCAGGCACGAAAGCGUGGGGAGCAAACAGG